rnacentral:rRNA from 1 species
GGGUAGAGUAAUGCGUGACCAACCUGCCCCAUGCUCCAGAAUAGCUCUUGGAAACGGGUGGUAAUGCUGGAUGCUCCAACUUGACGCAUGUCUUGUUGGGAAAGUGUUUAGUGGCAUGGGAUGGGGUCGCGUCCUAUCAGCUUGUAGGCGGGGUAAUGGCCCACCUAGGCUUCGACGGGUAGCCGGCCUGAGAGGGCGGACGGCCACAUUGGGACUGAGAUACGGCCCAGACUCCUACGGGAGGCAGCAGCU